UACGGAGGGUGCAAGCGUUAUCCGGAUUCACUGGGUUUAAAGGGUGCGUAGGUGGGCAGGUAAGUCCGUGGUGAAAUCUCUGAGCUUAACUCAGAAACUGCCGUGGAUACUAUUUGUCUUGAAUAUUGUGGAGGUGAGCGGAAUAUGUCAUGUAGCGGUGAAAUGCUUAGAUAUGACAUAGAACACCAAUUGCGAAGGCAGCUCACUACACAAUUAUUGACGCUGAGGCACGAAAGCGUGGGGAUCAAGCAGG
rnacentral:rRNA from 1 species